AGCGAGCGGGAAGAGCUCAAAUUUAUAAUCUGGCACCUUCGGUGUCCGAGUUGUGAUCUCUAGAAGUGUUUUCCGCGUUGGACCGCACACAAGUCUGUUGGAAUACAGCGGCAUAGUGGUGAGACCCCCGUAUAUGGUGCGGACGCCCAACGCUUUGUGAUACACUUUCGAAGAGUCKAGUUGUUUGGGAAUGCAGCUCAAAUUGGGUGGUAAAUUCCAUCUAAAGCUAAAUAUUGGCGAGAGACCGAUAGCGAACAAGUACCGUGAGGGAAAGAUGAAAAGCACUUUGGAAAGAGAGUUAACAGUACGUGAAAUUGUUGGAAGGGAAACGCUUGAAGUCAGACUUGCUUGCCGAGCAAUCGGUUUGCAGGCCAGCAUCAGUUUUCCGGGGUGGAUAAUGGUAGAGAGAAGGUAGCAGUUUCGGCUGUGUUAUAGCUCUUUGCUGGAUACACCUUGGGGGACUGAGGAACGCAGUGUGCCUUACGGCGGAUUUCUCGAGAUCUUCACACUUAGGAUGCUGGUGGAAUGGCUUUAAACGACCCGUCUUG
rnacentral:rRNA from 1 species